rnacentral:lncRNA from 1 species
CAUCAAUGGAAACUUACUGAAUGAGGAGAUGGACAGAAAAGAAAGCUUUCUGAGGGCCAUCAUUUAAAAUAAAUGAACACACAUUAAAAACCUUGUCUUUCUUCCUGCUUGAGCAACAGAGAUGAGAGAGGAGUACUUUGGCAAACCAGGUUGAGCUCAGCCUUGUGGGGCGAAACCAAGAAAAGAGAUAAUUAUUUUUUAUUUUUCUCAUCUGCUUCUUAUUGCCGGAGGUGCUGAAGACAGUUGAAUGUAGGCUCUGCUGGGUCCAUGAGGGAAGCCCUUCAGGGUCUCCCUGCUAGAGGCUGGGCCUCCCUCCUGCCAGGUGUUAGAUGUUGAUUCUGCCCAGGGUGCCUGUGUCAUAGAAGCUCCCAGAUUUUGAGCGACUGCAUCCUGAAUGGUAGUCCCCGCAGAGAUUUGACUUUCACCACUGGAAGCAGAGGUCACAGAAGGUUCGAGCAUUAUUUUCAGGAGGUAGAGUCCCCUUUGAGGACCUCAGUAAGUUACCCAUAAAUUAAAAAUACUCUGUCAUUGAAUUGGAUCAGAGGAUCUUCUCCAUAGUGUCAUGGCUACUCUGACUGACCAGCAAAAACUCUGCCCAGGCCAAGAGGUCAGAGAACUGCGGUAUUAAUCUCC